UACGUAGGGGGCGAGCGUUGUCCGGAGUUACUGGGCGUAAAGCGCACGCAGGCGGUCGGCUGCGUAGGUGGUGACAGUCCUCGGCUUACCUGAGGAAGCGCUGCCUAAACGGGUCGACUUGAGGGCCAGAGAGGGACACGGAACUCCGGGUGGAGCGGUGAAAUGCGUAGAGAUCCGGAAGAACACCAAAGGCGAAGGCAGUGUCCUGGCUGGCUCCUGACGCUCAGGUGCGAAAGCUAGGGGAGCAAACAGGAUUAGAUACCCUGGUAGUCCUAGCUGUAAACGAUGACCACUAGGCGUGUGGAGGCUCGACCCUCUGCGUGCCGCAGCUAACGCAAUAAGUGGUCCGCCUGGGGAGUACGGUCGCAAGAUUAAA
rnacentral:rRNA from 1 species